AAAGUCCUCUUCCGCCUUUGCACGGUGCCUCUCUUUGUUGACUUUGGCGUACUCCCUUUUGUCUUCGCCUUCACCUCUCUCUGCUCCACGGACGUAAAUCUCUUUGUUUUUUGCUGCUUCUCCGCAUCGUUCCCUCUCUUCUGCCAUCUCUGAGGUCCAUGCCAUGUCUCUUUCUAUCUAUUCUGAUUUCUUGGUAACACAGAACAAUACCUCCUUCUCCAAAAAUUUAUUCUUUUUCGGAUACAACAAAAACAACACAAGCAUUCUCCCAGCUUUUCUCAUUCCUCCAUUCCAUUCAAAAUGGUAACUUUAAUUGCUCUUUGAUUCUUCGAAAACCAAAAGUUUAUGGUUUUGUUUUUUAUCUUUUUCGAUUGAAAUGUGAAAACUUUCUGUCUUCAUUUGCGCUUGGAUUGUUACAAGUGAUUCUGAUUUUUCCCUUUCUUCUAUGAUGGGUUUUCUCUAUUUUGUGUUUUAGAAAAAGGAUCCAAUUUUUUUGGGUUUUUUUUUCUAUUCAUGUGAAGGUUCCUUUAGAGCUGCGAAGUUUAAGGUAUGCCCUCUCGUUUUGAAAUUGUGAUUGAAGUAUAUAGACAGACAUGUUUCAGCCCCUAUCAAAUAUACAUAAGAAACUUGACUUUUUCUUAUAAUUUUGUAGAUAAUAUUUUUCUUAAAUAAAAUAUUAUAUACAUUUUCCUUCGUACUACUUUUCUCAUUUAUAUUUUCUAUCACUGAUGCUGGUCACUUCUUGGUAAUUUUGCAGGGCUACAAUAGAAACUGGCCAUAAUUUUUUUUUUUUUGUAUUUAGAAGCAGGAAACUCAUCUUCUUUAUUACCAAUAUGUCUAAUCAUUAGGCGCUGGUCACUUCUUCUCCGCAUCAUUUUUCUUUGUAUGUAGGAGCAAGUUACUUAUUUUUAUUAUUUUAAGUUUCUUCAUUAUUGCAGGGGUUACACUCGAAAUUGUCCAUUUUUCCUUUUAAUAUAGAAGCAAGGUUGAUCUCACUUUGAGUUUUACAUUCAUACUUUGAAUUUUCCUAAUCUAAAGGGAUAUUAAAUGUUCAAAUGUAUUGGUGGAUGCACAUGGAUUUGUCAACCUUGCUGAUUUUGAACUGACAAAGGUAAAUAUCUUGCUCAAUUUAUACAUCAAUGUAGAAUCGUUUGUUAGUUUCUCUGAUAUUUCAAUUUUAGCUAUCGAUAUCUAAAUACUGCUCAACUGAUUAACAUUUUAAUUUUCUUAUAUUGCUUUUUUAUUUCAGUCAACCAAAUUGAAUGAUACAUUAAAUUAUGCAAGGGGAUUUGUUUUGCUGCCUUGCUUUCAUAUGCUUUGGGUUCUUUUCAUUAGGUGUUUUUGCUAUUUGAAGCUCUGCUACUUUAGUUUUAUAUGUUGUUAUCACAGUAUUAUGUUGUUGUUAUUGGUGAUUACAUGUGAUGUCUAAUGCUUUUCUUUGUGUCGUGCAAGAAGGUCAGGGUGUUGUCCCAAAGGUUGCACCAUGAGGUCGCUGUUUUGAAAUUGAAGAAAGGGGGUAUUAACUGGCUCGGUUAAUUUUUAACCUAUGUUGCUGUUGGGUUUGGUGACUGAUGAAGCUUGGUAUGAAGAACUUUCUUCAUUCACUUUCUCUAUAGGUUAAUUAAUUAUUAUUUACAUUGUUUAUUGUUCUGGAGUUUCAUAGUUGCAAUGGCAAGAAAUAGCCAUUUUAUUUAGAGCUUACAAGGUGCCAGAUUUACAUAUCCGUGUCAUGCAUUAUAUCCUUCAAUAAUUGUUUGCUUGCAAUAUAUUUUCUAAGUCGACUCACAAAACAUUUGCAUCAAACCUUUAUCGGAAAAAGGUACUCUUCAACUAUCUUUUCAACAAAUAAUUAUGACUUUCUUGAUUUAGUUUGUAGUAUUCUUCCAUUUUGUUUCAAAAUAUAUUUCAACAAUCAGUUCUGGUUUUCUGUUUGAAAUAACAAGUUGAAAGAAUUGAUCAUUUGAUAGGAGACAAUAAAACAGGUUGCUUUUCUGUUGGGUAAGUAUUGUUAAGUAAUAAGUGUGAAGGAUAGUUAGUCUUAUAUUAAAUGAAAGAAUCCCGCUAGGGAGCCAAUGGAGUGUCUGUACUAAACAUCUGAUAUCCUAUUGAAUCAAACGUCUCUAAACCCCAUUGUACACAUUGUGCAUAUACUCCAUUGGCUCCCUAUACUUCCUCUAAAUGAAAUAAUGUGUGAGAGUUUAUGAAAUGAGAAAUUUAUCUAUUUAGUGCGUUAAGCUUUUUAAGUUGGUGUGGUAUAUUCUGUCACUUGAUUCUUAUACAAGUGAUUGACUAUUUUUUUCUUUUGUUGGUAUUGUAACAUGAUUGCUAAAAUAUUACUCUUUUAUAUAUUUUUAUUUUUUUGAUACAAACAAUAAAUGUACUGUUUUGCCUCUCUCAUAAUCUUUGUCAUGAGAUGGAUAAAUUUUUUUUAUUUGUUUUAAUUUAAACCUUUUCUCUGUGGCCAUAG
rnacentral:lncRNA from 1 species